CUCCCCUAACUUUUUCUGCAGAUCAGCAAGUGAUCUGCAACUUCAUAAAGCUGUACACAGGUUGUGGAUUUAGUGCCACUGAAUGUCAUUUUGAAUGGUCUGAUUCAAGUAGUGGAGGAAACUGUGUCCAUGGGCAAGAGUGUGGGUCUGGACAUCUAAGGUGCACACACAGAGGAACUUGGUGAAGACCAUCUGGAGGACCUGAUGAUGCAAGAACUUGCUGAACUCUAGUUUGAGCAGCAGAAGAUGCUUGCUGAAGAGCAUUUCGCAGAGGAAGACAGGGGGACUUCCCAUCAGGAAAGAUGAGCAAGAUGAGUCAGAAAAAUUCCCCCGAACACAUAAAAGGGAGGUAAAAAGCAUAUUUAAUUUGAAAACAGGAUCCAUGAACUGAAUAUAGG
rnacentral:lncRNA from 1 species